AGGGUUGUGGCUCAGUGGUAGAGUGCUCACCUAGUAUGUGUGAGGCGCUGGGUUCAAUCCUCAGUAUCACAU
rfam:Ictidomys tridecemlineatus contig078422, whole genome shotgun sequence.